CUUACCGGUCCCCGUACGAUCACUGAAGUUAAGCAACAUUGGACCUGGUCAGUAACUUGAUGAGUGACCGCCUAGGAAUACCAGGGCUGUA